CUAUUAUCUGACAGAAGACUCUCC
rnacentral:siRNA from 1 species